AUACUUACCUGGCAGUAGAGACACCAAGAUCAUGAAGUUGGUUUUCCCAGGGUGAAGCUUAUCCAUUGUACUUCAGAAGUGCUGACCCCUUCGAUUUCCCCAAAUGUGGAAAACUUGACUGCAUAAUUUGUGGUAGUGGGGGACUGUAUUGGUGUUCUCCCCUA